UCCUGCCUGAGGCUGCAGCAAAGCCACCUGUUCCUGGAAGAUGACUCGGAGGUGACCUCUUAGGGAGGACGGGAAGAUAGUCUGACAGUGACGGAGCAGAGGCCCGGCAACAGGGCCCAGCGUCCAGCUGAGAAGGCCUUGCUGGCCUCUCAGGACUGGCAUGUCCCAUCCCUGUGCUGAAGCAGUGAUUGGGGUGGGGGGUACUUCUGGAAAAAGAAGAGGGACGAGGUAUUUAUCUUGAGAUUUGGUUAGAGGAACAUUCCUCCCCUGGGGAAUAGAAACGGAAGCAGAAGGCAAAUGAAGUCUCAGGAGGGACUCAGGACCAAGCAUCCAGCCGAGCGUGUCUCAGCUGUGGCUCUCUGGACAUCUGGGGCCAGAAAUGGCUCCUCAUGAAGAAGACUGUCAUGACAACCUGAGUGCAGGCACCGUGGCAGGUGGGCCGAGACAGAGAGGCCCCACGUCCAGAUGAAAGAGCCUGGUCUCACCAGAGUGUCUGGGGGAAGUGAGAAUCCACAUUUUUCAUGCUGGUCUAGGAUCGAACUCCUCAGGACAGGGAGGAUGAGGAGGGUGUCUGGCCAUGGAUUCAGAUGGCACUUGUCCUAAACCAAGGUCAAAGAAGGUAUGUGGACUGAAGGUUUCUAUAGCAGCUGAAUUCUCAGGCAUUUUUCUUCAAAGUCGACAAACUAGUUCGAUUAAUGCUAACUUUUCC